rnacentral:lncRNA from 1 species
UUUGGCACAAAACUAAAGUUUGUCUUAUUUUAUGUUUAUGAAAGGCUGCAGAGUUGGGUAGAGUACCCACAGUGGACGAGGUCUUUGUAAGAACUCAAACCAGUGCAUAGGACUCAUCUUGGGUUGUACAAGAUAUAAGUUGCAUCAGGCCUCAGAAGGUGCAGAUGGUAAGGGCUCCCAAACGAUCAACACGAUCGACCCUACGACUCGUUUAAAGCUAUGUGCCCAAUCAUCUAGGGAAAAACUGUUAUGACUACAUAUUUUGUCCAAAUUGUUAGUGUCUUUUCUGUUUAUUUUAACACUUGUAAUAGUGUAAAUUUUUGUUAACACUACACUUUAGUUUGAGCAAGGGAUCUUUUAAAGAUAUGACUCAAUUUGCUUAGUUUUAAAUUUAGUUUGUUUGUUUGGUAUUGGUUAUCUUGUUGGAUGAAAAUGGAUGAAGUUAUGUGAUAGUAGCAUACAAUUGCUACUAGCUGUUUAUGAAAGUAAAAAA